UGGGGAAUUUUGGACAAUGGGCGCAAGCCUGAUCCAGCCAUGCCGCGUGCGGGAAGAAGGCCUUCGGGUUGUAAACCGCUUUUGUCAGGGAAGAAACGCUCUGGGCUAAUACCCUGGGGUAAUGACGGUACCUGAAGAAUAAGCACCGGCUAACUACGUGCCAGCAGCCGCGGUAAUACGUAGGGUGCAAGCGUUAAUCGGAAUUACUGGGCGUAAAGCGUGCGCAGGCGGUUGUGUAAGUCAGAUGUGAAAUCCCCGGGCUCAACCUGGGAAUUGCAUUUGAGACUGCACGGCUAGAGUGUGUCAGAGGGGGGUAGAAUUCCACGUGUAGCAGUGAAAUGCGUAGAUAUGUGGAGGAAUACCGAUGGCGAAGGCAGCCCCCUGGGAUAACACUGACGCUCAUGCACGAAAGCGUGGGGAGCAAACAGGAUUAGAUACCCCUGUAGUCCCUGAGCGGGCUGGCAAGGCGCAU
rnacentral:rRNA from 1 species